CCUACGGGAGGCAGCAGUGAGGAAUAUUGGUCAAUGGCCGGAAGGCUGAACCAGCCAAGCCGCGUGAAGGACGAAGGUGCCAAGCAUUGUAAACUUCUUUUGUCACGGGACAAAAUCAGGCUCGAGAGCCUGACCGAGGGUACUUGAAGAAAAAGCAUCGGCUAACUCCGUGCCAGCAGCCGCGGUAAUACGGAGGAUGCGAGCGUUAACCGGAUUUAUUGGGUUUAAAGGGUGCGUAGGCGGGCUGUUAAGUCAGCGGUGAAAGCCCGGGGCUCAACCCCGGGACUGCUUUUGGAACUGGGUGGCUGGAGUGCAGUAGGGGCAGGUAGAAUUCCUGGUGUAGCGGUGAAAUGCGUAGAGAUCAGGAGGAACACCGGUGGCGAAGGCGGCCUGCUGGACUGCAACUGACGUUGAGGCCCGAAAGCGUGGGGAGCAAACAGGAUUAGAUACCCGUGUAGUC
rnacentral:rRNA from 1 species